CCCUUAGAUGUCCUGGGCUGCACGCGCGCUACACUGAUGUGUCCAGUAAGCACCUAACCUCUUCCGAAAGGAACGGGUAACCUUUGCAAAGCACAUCGUGAUGGGGAUAGAUUAUUGCAAUUAUUAGUCUUGAACGAGGAAUUCCUAGUAAGCACAAGUCAUCAGCUUGUGUUGAUUACGUCCCUGCCCUUUGUACACACCGCCCGUCGCUCCUACUGAUUGGGUGAUCCGGUGAGCUGUUCGGCCAUAGCAAUGUUUCUUGAGCAGGGCAAUGAAUGUUUCGCAAACCUUGCCACUUAGAGGAAGGAGAAGUCGUAACA
rnacentral:rRNA from 1 species